rnacentral:rRNA from 1 species
GACGAACGCUGGCGGCGUGCCUAACACAUGCAAGUCGAACGGGGCCCGCAAGGGUUCAGUGGCGAACGGGUGCGUAACACGUGAAGAACUUGUCCAUCGGCGGGGGAUAGCCGGCCCAACGGCCGGGUAAUACCGCGUACGUCGCGCUGAGCGCAUGCUCGGCGCGGGAAAGCAGCAAUGCACCGAUGGAGAGCUUCGCGGCCUAUCAGCUAGUUGGCGGGGUAAUGGCCCACCAAGGCGACGACGGGUAGCUGGUCUGAGAGGAUGACCAGCCACA